rnacentral:rRNA from 1 species
UGGGGAAUUUUGGGAUCAAUGGGGGAAACCCGAUCGAUCCAGCCAUCCCGCCGUGUGCGAUGAAGGCCUUCGGGUUGUAAAGCACUUUUGGCAGGAAAGAAACGUCGCGGGUUAAUACCCCGCCGAAACAUGACGGUACCUGCAGAAUAAGCACCGGCUAACUACGUGCCAGCAGCCGCGGUAAUACGUAGGGUGCAAGCGUUAAUCGGAAUUACUGGGCGUAAAGCGUGCGCAGGCGGUUCGGAAAGAAAGAUGUGAAAUCCCAGAGCUUAACUUUGGAACUGCAUUUUUAACUACCGGGCUAGAGUGUGUCAGAGGGAGGUGGAAUUCCGCGUGUAGCAGUGAAAUGCGUAGAUAUGCGGAGGAACACCGAUGGCGAAGGCAGCCUCCUGGGAUAACACUGACGCUCAUGCACGAAAGCGUGGGGAGCAAAGCAGGAUUAGAUACCCUGGUAGUCCACGCCCUAAACGAUGUCAACUAGCUGUUGGGGCCUUCGGGCCUUGGUAGCGCAGCUAACGCGUGAAGUUGACCGCCUGGGGAGU